CAAAUAAAAAACCACCAAAAAAAUUUCAUUUCCCUCUCUAUCUUCUUCUUAUUCUUCCUCUCUGUCUCACACAGAAACCAUUCUGUCUCUCCCUUCACUUUCAGACCCAUACUCGGAAACCCCCAACCCCAAACACAGAAACCCCAAUGGAGAGACCCAUACUCGGAAACCCCCAAACCCCAAACGCAGAAACCCCACCGGAGAGACCCAAACCCAAACCUCAGUUAUAUAAGGACUUGUUCUCUCUCCUUACGCCUCUCCUCUCCUUUGCAAUCCAACUCAAACUAGGCGAACCAGAUGCGAACCACGAGCUGAUCUCCUAAAGCCGAGCCGAGCCCAGUAGGGGAGAGCAUAUAUAGUAACCAUACAAAUGUAAACCAUUUUCAUCAUCGCCUUUUCAUUUUCUCUACAUUUCUGCGAACCAUUCUGCUCUCUAUUGCCUCUCUGAGUUUUUGAACAAUGGCCGUGAAAAUAAAACGGAUAUCACUAGCUCGUGAACUCUGUACUUGGUUGAGCCUGAUGUUCAAGAUGGUCCUUGUUUCGAUUUAGAUUGCUGCUCGUGUUGGUGGAAAGAGAACGAUAAUAGUUAUUGUCACAUAGAACUGGAUGCCAAGUUGAAGAUCCGACUGUGCGAUGCCGAAACUGGAUGCCAAGCUAUAGUUCCAUUCAUGGAAUUCUUCCUGCCAGUAUUCCUUAAAUUGUUCCCUAACAUAUUACCAUCAAACAUCAAGGACAAGAUUAAAGAGCAGGAGGAAUUGAAAAGAAAGCUAAAUGCAAGAAUAGAAUAUGCAAAAUUUCUUCAAGACACAGUAAAAGAAAUGGCAAAGGAAAUCAAAAACCUCACGAAGUGGAGAAGUUAAGCAGACAGCAGAAGAUCUUGAUGAAUUUAUGAACAAGGUUAGAACAGGCGAGCGUGUUGCUAACAACGAGAUUUUAGGCUUUGCCAAGCUAUUCAGUGAUGAACUUACGUUAGACAACAUUAGCAGGAUCAAGGAGGAUGAUAAGAUGAUUCAAGUUGAGGGAGUGGAGUCCCUUUUAGAAAAAGAGCUUAUUUCAGCCUGUCGAGAACGAGUCAUACUUGGAACACAUUCAGUAGAGGAAAUGCGAGAAGAGUCUUUCAUUGAUUUGCAAUUUCCAAAUGGGUAAUUGACUUAUGUCUCUCGUGAGGGGUUAAGUACAAGUGUUUUCUUACAAGUUUGUGGAGGUCUUUUUCAAGCUCAAGGUCAAUAUCUAGGAGAGAUGAGAUUUAGUUUCUCUUGCAAGGUUUGCAAACUGAUAAGAUUUUUAUUAGAACGUUGUAUUAGAAUAAAUGGGGAACACGCAUCACUCCAACGAUACAAAAGUCUUUUACAUUAGGUCUUGCACAAGCUUUGGCUUGGUAGAGAUCUGGUCUCAUGGUGAGGCCUACAGUUCAAGUCAGGUUAGUUUCUUCUUUAUUAUACUUAUUUUGAGAUUUGAAAAAUGUAGAUUAUGAAAAUAAUCAUGGAUGGGCUCCAAGUUAAAGCUACUUCUUAAACUCUUUGAUAGUACACAAAUUGUGGCUUGGGCUAGGUUCUGAUGCAGAAUGGGUUUUAUUUUGGGAUGUUACGUGUCAGAUUUAGAUAGUUGAUUUCCUAUCUUGUGAUUUUUUUUGCUCCUUAACAUAAAAUAAAUCUUACCAUAGUAUCAGAACUUGGCUCUUUUGCCCUUAUGUCAUAUGCUACCCUACUAAGUCUUGCAUGUAUGGGAACUCAGCUAAAUGGUCCCUAUGUCAAUACCGUAUGAUUACAACUAGGCCUGCCAUAUGGUAUUGUGUUAGAAAACCAACAUGAGAACUGGGCCUACCGUAUGGUAUGGUGCUAGAAAACCAACAUGGCAAGUAACCAUCGUAUUGGUCUAGCUGGGUGAUUUGGUAUUUUUUUUCUUCAGAACAGAAGUUGGUUUUUUAACUGUUUGAACUAUGAUGUACAAUUGCUAACAUUAUGCAGUAUUACGUCCUCAUAAACAGUCACUUGAGUAGUUGGUGUGAAGCUUCAUUUAUUUAGUUUUACUAUGGUAGUCAGCAGUGUGUUUUCUAUUAAGCUCUAGGCUAGUUAAGUCUAGAUAAUAAUUAAAAAAAUAGACAUUUUUUUCCCUAUUAAGUAUUCUUUUACCCAGUUUAUUGCUUUCAACCUGAAUGUUGUUUUUUUCAUGGAAUUUUAACCAUUUUGAAUAGUAUUUAGUCUAUCAAAAUUCAUGUUCCUAUGGUAGUUUCAUAAGAUAAGUCAUGGUUUGGGGUUGUAUGUACUUUGCCAAGGACCAUAAAAGUUUUCUCAAAAAUUAGGAAGUCAUCUUUUUGUUUUUUUAGCAUUUUUUUCCUUUUUAGAUUCUGUUACUAUUUACUCGUCCAAUUUUAUUACACUUGGUGUUUAUAUUUUUCCUGUUCAAUGAUUUGUAACAAUCAGUUUAUGUCCAACAUUGGGGGGAAGCAAUCUUGGAGUGAGGGCAGAACACACACACACACAUGUAUAUAUUGAGCAUUUUGGAAGCAAUACAUGACUUGGGGUAAUAACAUGAUAUAGAACAUACAUCUAACUUUUUUAUUUUUUAUAAUGUUGAUAAUAAUAUUUAGGUUAAUAUUUUGAUUGGUCUUAAAGCAUUGGAUCGGUAGCUAAUUGCAAGAGGUAUGUUGUAUUUGAUUUUUUUUUUAAUUUUCAAUAUUUUACAAUUUUGAAUGAUAAUUGUAUUACUUUAGUGGAGUUUGAAUAUUUUAGAUAUUCAUUCAUAGUGAAGUAGGUUCUGAGAAUUUUGUGUGCUGUGGUGAUAACUGAAGAUUGAGAACUUGCAUGUCUUAGUGAAGUAGGUUCAGAGAAUUUUGUGUGCUGCGGUGAUAUAUGGAUGAAAACUUGUGUGCUGUUUGAUUUGUCUGACAUGUUGGUGUUGAAUGUGAUUGAUGGCUAGGGUAGUAAAUUAGGGGAUAUGCUGUCGGAUUUGUUGAUUUUAGUAUAUAUUAUGUAUAUAUAUUUUUUGUUGGAUACUUUGCCUUUGAUUUUGUUAUGUUUAUUCAGAUUUAGAGUAUAUAUGUAUAAUUAUGUAAUUAAGUUCUUUUGUGUGAUACAUUUUUUACAUUCAUUGAUUUUGGUAUAUAUAUAUAUAAAUAUGUUUUUGUUGGAUAUUUCUUUCUGGUAUGAUUAUGGUUAAUUAUAUUUAUGGUAUUCUUUUUUUGCCAAUGAUGUUAAAAUAAUUAGUAUGCUUAUUAUGUUGGUGAUUAAAAGACUUAUUGUGCUUUUAUAUUUUUAAAGGCAUACAAAGUGUCAUAAAUGCUCAUAAUACGUUCUUUUUUCUUUUUGAAAUCCUUAUUGUUAUACCCAAAAAUUGGAGAUCAAUGGCAUGGUAAUAAAGAUGACAAAAUGCAUCCUAGGAGGCUAAAGAGAGUGAUCCUAGGAGAACCCAAGGAUGAGGUCCGAGGAGAACUCAAGAAAGUGGUCUUAAGAGACUCCAAGGAGAAAGUGGUCCUAGGAGACCCUAAGGAGUAUGUGGUCCUAGGAGACCCCAAGGGUGUGUCUGAGGUAAGCCUCCCAAGGUUUUCUAAGUGUUGGCUCGAAAGUGUCCAAGGUAAGUAGCUAAGGAGGAGGAGUCCCAUGCAAGUCAAGAAUGGAGACUUAGAUUUUGACAAGAAGAGCCUACACAAUGUCCGAUCGAACAUAGUUGGGAGAUGGUAAAGGAGAGUGCCUCAGACUUGUCCAAGGUGAGAUGCCAAGGAGGAUGCCUCGGACCACCUUGGUCCAAGGAGAAGGCCACAAGGUCCGAAGGGACCUUGAAUGGAGGGGGUAUGCUCGGACUUGUCCGAGGAGAGAAACAGGAGAGAAGGAUGCAUCGGACCACCUUGGUCCAAGGAGAAGGCAUGAGAAGGAUGCCUCGGACCACCUUGGUCCAAGGAGAGCCAAGCUUGUAUCACCUUGGUCCAAGGAAAGCUUGAAGGAGUAAUCAACAUGCAUGUGAGACUACGUCAAAGUCCCCAGAGCGACUCUAGCAAGAAUUGGUCUAGGCACCCGGUAAUCUCUCACUCCUCACUCAAAUUGAGGAAUCAGUUGUAUUUUAAACAUUUAUUGUAAUAUAAAUAUAAGAUGAAUAAUAAAAUAUCCCUAUCGAAAGGGGAUAUCAGUUGAGGAUCCCAGGCCUAUAAAUAGAGAGCUUAUGGGAUAAGAGAGGGGUUUCUGUUGCUUCUUCUUUCUAGAGAGAGAAAAUUGGGUCUGUGUAUUCUAGAGAGAGAAAGUGCUGAUAUUUGAGAGAACUCUUGUAUUUUCACAAUCUGUACUGAAGAAAUUCAGUUGGCUCAGUCCAUCUGAUCUUGAGUAUAGAUCUAUAAAUCACAACUCUAAGUGGAUUAGGCUAUUACUGACAAUCGGGGCUGAACCACUAUAAAAUCUCUUGUGUUGUUUAUCUUUCUGUUCAUAAACUGUCUGUUGUCGUUUAUAUUCUCUUGAAGGCUUGUCGUAUUUGACGUUCUCACGUCAUUGGCUAAAAAGACAGUCAACACUUAUGAUGAUUAAAUUUGGGAUAUUCUAUUAUUAAAUUAGGAAUUUUGUUAUACUGUAAUUCACAACAUCAUUAGUCUCCCAAUUGUCUCAAACUUUGUCGUCAUUCUUACAAGGUCAGCUUUUGUUUAUAAUCUCUAAGAGGGAUUAAUUAACAAAAUUUACAUAUUUAUAUUGUUGGUUCUCUUAUUCAUUCGUUAAUAUAUUAUGGUAAGAUAUACUAUUUAAUUAUAAUUUGAAGUAUUUAAUUCAUUGGUGCAGGGAAUAUCAUAGGAUUGACUUUUAAGGUGGAUACCUAGAUUUAUUGGGAAGAAUAUUGAGAAAAGAAACAUGAUUGGAUAUGGAGAAUAGAAUUAUGUUGUUUUGUUGAGAAUUGUUGUAUUAUAUAUUUUGAAGUUUAUGGAUUUAUAAUAUUAUAAUGAAUUUUUAUUGAGAAUUAUUUAGUCUCAUGGGGAUUUGAUGUAUUAUUUACAUUUCAAUUGUAUGAAUAAAUGUUGUAUGUAUAUGAA